GACGAACGCUGGCGGCGUGCCUAACACAUGCAAGUCGAACGGGGCACCUUCGGGUGCUUAGAGGCGAACGGGUGAGUAACGCGUGAGAAACCUGCCUUUCAGUGGGGGACAACAGUUGGAAACGACUGCUAAUACCGCAUGAUGUAUCGAGGGGGCAUCCCCAUGAUACCAAAGCUUAAUGUGCUGAAAGAUGGUCUCGCGUCUGAUUAGCUAGUUGGUGAGGUAACGGCUCACCAAGGCGACGAUCAGUAGCCGGUCUGAGAGGAUGAACGGCCACAUUGGGACUGAGAUACGGCCCAGACUCCUACGGGAGGCAGCAGUGGGGAAUAUUGGGCAAUGGGGGAAACCCUGACCCAGCAACGCCGCGUGAAGGAAGAAGGCCCUCGGGUUGUAAACUUCUUUUACCAGGGACGAAGAAAGUGACGGUACCUGGAGAAAAAGCAACGGCUAACUACGUGCCAGCCGCCGCAGUAACAC
rnacentral:rRNA from 1 species